CUCUCUUUUCUGGAAUCGGAUUGGGUGCUUUUGCUUCCUUCUCACAGGAUUCUUCAUCAAGGAACUUUCUCAGCUCCGCAAUUUCCUUUUGGGCAUUGAGAAUUUUCUGCUCCUUGAGCAUCUUCCGGAGGGCUUCAUUCUCCGUUUCGAGAGUCUCGACUCUCAUUGAAAAUUCCAUUUGGCGUUUCUCCUCCUCUGCCAUCUUCUUUUUGAGUCGAUUGGUCUUCUUGGGAUCUUUCACUACCUGCCAUCGAUUCUCUUCCAUUUUUUCUCAAAAAACUCACUUUUUUUUUUUGCAAAAACGCGACAGCGGCAAAACUUGUUCAACGUGAAAAAUUGCUCCACACUAAAGUUUUGACAAAUUGUUUUUUUUUGACAAAUUGAAUUUUUGACAAGUUGAGUUGUUGACAAGUUUGGAAAUAUCAACAAAAAAAAUUUCAUGCCCAAAAAUAUCAUCAGAAGCUACAGAAAGAGUCCCAUUUAAAGCGGUAAAAGAUGGUAAGGAUGGAAAGCGUUGGAGGAAGUACGAACGAUCACGUGUUCGUAGUGCUGAUAAGUAUGAUAGGGCAUAUCGGAAGUCAUCGAAUAAGAACGCCACUCAUUCACGGACUCAUGGACGAGACACGCGCAAUGUGAUCAAAGACUACGUCGUGGAGAUCUUCAAUGUGUACAGGGAAAUAAAGAAUAUUGAAUUCCCCCUUGAGAGGACCAACAAUACCAGCCGGAGAUUCUGCUAUGUGGAAUACAACAGCCUCGCUGAUGUAAAGAAUGUCAUGAAGCUCAAGGAUGAGGGGCAAAUUGACGGGCAGGAGACUACAGCUGUUCACGUGAUUGUGCCCACACAGAGACUCUCAUUGAGACGUUCAUCACCAAUUCGCAACAAUCGCGGUGGAGGUCCACGAUGGCGCAAAAAAUUCCCCGAUGCGCUUUUGUCGUCAUUCCCCCAUACGUCGGAGCCCCCGUCGUCGUCGUAGCUUCAUUCCAUCAACGCAGGCACAGCAACAUUUCCGGAAAUUCUCUCUAAUUGCAUCAGCAAAUCAUCUCCCGGCGCAGAAAUAAAGCUAGACGAGCAACGCAUGAAUGUGGUGAAACAUCAAAAAAAAAUACCACAAGUCGACCAGGGAAGUGUGAUCCAAUUGACCAGGAUGCAACAAGAUGUACUCGAGAUAAAAUUCCCCAAAAUGUCGUUGUGAAUUUUGGCUUGGAGAAGAUGAAAUCCAAAGUGGAGACAAGAGCCAUCAAGUAUAUUGCUGCUGCUAGUGCUGCAGUUGCUGAAGUAAUGAGAAAGGAAGAGAAUGGCAAUAAUAAAGCAGAUGGGUACAGCGCAAUGGACGCGACAAGGAAUGCAAGAAACGUGGCUGUCUGUCCAGAAGCAGCAAAAUUAGUGGUAUGUGAAUCUCCAUUUAUCGUGUUGAUGAGCUCAUCAAGUGACUCCUCGUCAGGCUCCAGCAAGGGAAUUGAGCGAAGCCCAAAAAUAUCACCAGAAUCUUCCUACAGAAAGAAUCUCAUUAAGACGGCAAAAGAUGGUAAGGAUGGAAAGCGUUCGAGGAAGUGUGAACGAUCACGUCGUCGUAGUGUUGAUAAGGAUGAUAGGGCAUACAGGAAGUCACCGGAUAAGCCAUCACGUGAUGCACGCAAUUGCUCACGCUCGGGAUCGCCUCGCAGUAAGCAUUGAAAGCCAUGAACGACACUCAUUCACAUUGGACGAGUCACGCGCAAUCUAAUCAAAGACCACGUCGUGGAGAUCUUCAAUGUGUACAGGGGGGAUAUUGAAUUCCCUCUUGAGAGGACCAUAACACCAGCCGGAGAUUCUUCUCUGUGGAAUACAACAGCCUCGCUGAUGCUACGAAUGCCAUGGAUGAGGGGUAAAUUGACGGGCAGGAGAUUACAGCUGCUCACGUGCUUGUGCCCACGCAGACUCCCACCUCAGAUCAUCACCAAUUCGCAACAAUCGCGGUGGAGGUCCACGAUGACGCAAAAAAUGCCCCGAUGCGCUUCUGUCGUCAUUCCCUCAUACGUCGGAUCCCCCGUCGUCGUCGUCGUAGCUCCAUUCCAUCGACGCAGGCAUAGCAACAUUUCCUGAAAUUCUCGCUAAUUGCAUCAGCAAAUCAUCUCCCGGCGCAGAAAUAAAGCUAGAUGAGCAACAGAAAGAUCAGCAAUCAUUGAAAUCUCGAGAACGCCAAUGAGGAACUUGUGGAUCAAUACUUCGAUAAGACUGAUAACAUUUGGAGCAUGGAGAAUAAGUUCGUGAGCUGGACAGUAAGAUCAACGACAAAAUGCCCAUGGAGAGUUCGGUACUGUCGAAAUUGCAGCCUCAGGUGCAGGAUCUGAUAAAGCUUAUCUUAUAUAUUAAUUCCAUGAAAAAAAUGUAUGCUAAAAGUUUAAAAAGAUUAAAUAAAAAUGUUCUUUCAA